CCCCCCCCCCCCCCCCUCCGAAUGGGAGCUUGCGUAAAGGGGGAGCUGUAGGAGGUCCGUGAGAUGGGCCCCAGGUGACGCAGGGACCUGCCCGGAGCCCGCUUCCGUCUCCUGUCCACCUAGCAGGCCAGCUCGCCCAGAUCUCAGCACCCAGACCCGCGUGAAACCUACAGGUCACAGAGACCAGAAAUAACUGAGGAGAGGAAGGGCGAGCCUGCCAGCAUCACCUACCCUUCCUUCAGCGGGGCUAGGGCACUUUCCCCAGCCUCUCACUUCCUAUCCGCGGUUUUUUCUUCUCACGAUUACCUCAACAGACAAGCCAGGAGCAACCCGCCCCUCCAAGCCAGUCCCCGCACCUCCCCGAGCACGAGGGGCUGGGCUUCCUGUUUCUUCACUUUAAUCAAGCUCCCAGGCCCUUCCCCUUGAAACUUGGACUCAGAGAUCUAUACCCAGACAAGGGGGGGGGGGGGGGGGGUGGAGAGCGAGGAAGGCUGUGUAAUUUAAAAAGCAUAUUGUGCCUUAUAAUUUUAUAUGUGGGAAAUAAAAAUGGUCCCACCCCAAAACUUUUUUUUUUUUUUUUUAAGCAGAGUCAGAAUUUUGCGUGGUGGGAGACUGUGCCGAUGAUACAGAAAUUGGUGUGAGGAUAUAACCUAGCAGUUAGAGAGGGCAGCCUGUAGAAUCAUAGUUCCAACCUCAGCCUCAUCACAUAUCGAUAUUAUCUUGGCCAAGCAAGAUAUUGACUCUCUUACUGGUUUUUCCUGCCUGUAAAGUGGGAAAGAAGACAAGGGGAAGCACUCACUCUUUAGGGUUGUCAGGGGCGUUGAAUUAGAAAAUCUAUGUACUAAAAUGCUUAGCUGAGGGCCUGACAUGGAGCAAGACUAUUGACUGAUCUCAUUUUCAGCGGGGAAUACACUGUAGUGGGAGAAGAGAGGUUUUAGUUUCUACAUUUCCCUUUAAAUAAAAUAAUCCAGGUCAUGGGUUUUAAAAAGACCGAAAGACACAUCGACAAACUGUAAAUGUUGGAAGCAGCUGCAGAGACCAUGUGAAUAGACUUAUUUCACAGACGAGUAAUUUAAGUCCAAAAGGAAGGUGAUGUCUCAGAAUUAGUGGCCUUGUAUGUUCUACCCACAGGGCAGUACAGAGCUGUGCACCCAGAACACACACAGGACGGGGGUCAGGAUGGGAGAGACGCUUACGUUGGGCAGUGGAGAAAUUCCAAGACCGCAUUGCUGGGGGAGGGCCGCACAGCCUCCUCACUGCUACCUCCAGCCCCUGUUGUCCUCAGGGGACCCAAACCCUACCCCCCCCCCCCUUUUUUUUCUUUUUUUGUGUGGUGCUAGUGUGUCCCAGCACAGAUGCAUUCCCCCAGCGCCUUGGUAUUAUUCGUGGCUUCCUGGUUUCUCCCAGCCGCCUCCACCGCCUCCUCACUUGAGGCAGGAAGUGACUUCAGAGCGGCAGGAUGCAGGUGGCUCCGGAGCACUUGGUGAAGUCACCAGUUCCUGCACCAGGAGCCAGAAGGCAAGGGCAGGGCCGGGGAGAACACGGCCCAUUUGAAAUGUCUGGUGGAAUGAGCACAAAACCGCAGGAUGAUGCCCAGGAGGGGGGCCCCUCUUUCCGCAGGCCUCCGCAGUCCCCAGGCUCCCCAGGCCAGAACCCCAGGACACAGCAGGCAACGUGAGAGGCUUCUUUAUUCCAUGGUUCUGAUCUUGCAAGAUCUAACAUCUCCACCCCGAGGCACUCUCCACCUGCCCAUCCAGACCGCUAAAAAAUAAAAAUAAAA